rnacentral:rRNA from 1 species
UACGGGGGGAGCAAGCGUUGUUCGGAUUUACUGGGCGUAAAGGGCGCGUAGGCGGUCGUGACAAGUCACUUGUGAAAUCUCCGGGCUUAACUCGGAACGGUCAAGUGAUACUGUCGGACUAGAGUACAGAAGGGGCAACUGGAAUUCUCGGUGUAGCGGUGAAAUGCGUAGAUAUUGGGAGGAACACCAGUGGCGAAGGCGGCUCACUGGACCGGUUCUGACGCUGAGGCGCGAAAGCGUGGGGAGCAAACGGG